UCGGGUAUGGUGUAACGGCUAACAUUGCCGCCUCUCAUGCACAUUAUGCAUAAUAGGAGUGGAAGUGCGCGGCAGCUCGGGGUUCGAUUCCCCGUACCCGAA